rnacentral:tRNA from 1 species
UGGCAGGAUAGUUCAGUUGGUUAGAACAUUGGAAUCAUAAUCCAAGUGUCGGGGGUUCAAGUCCCUCUCCCGUCAA